AGCGAACGCUGGCGGCAGGCUUAACACAUGCAAGUCGAACGGUCCUUCGGGAUAGUGGCGGACGGGUGAGUAACACGUGGGAACGUACCCUUAGGUUCGGAACAACACAGGGAAACUUGUGCUAAUACCGGAUAAGCCCUUCGGGGGAAAGAUUUAUCGCCUUUGGAGCGGCCCGCGUCUGAUUAGCUUGUUGGUGAGGUAAUGGCUCACCAAGGCUACGAUCAGUAGCUGGUCUGAGAGGAUGGCCAGCCACACUGGGACUGAGACACGGCCCAGCCGCCUAGGGGAGGCGGCGGUGGGAAAUCUUGCGAAAGGGGCAAAAGCCUGACGCAGCCAUGCCGCGUGGAGGAUGAAGUUUUUAGGAUUGUAAAACCCUUUCACGGGGGACGAUAAUGCCGGUACCCGGAGAAGAAGCCCCGUCUAACUUCGUGCCAGCCCCCGCUGUAA
rnacentral:rRNA from 1 species